rnacentral:rRNA from 1 species
GGUUUAAUGAAGUUGUUGGCCGCGAGGCAGCAGUAACAAAUUUUGUGCAAUAUACGAAAGUAAGACACAGAGAGGGCACCUUUUCUAGUCCGUCAAAUUAAGUGCCAGCAGACGCGGUGAAACUUAAGGGCUAGUCUUAUAGGCAAAAGCGUAAAGGGUGUGAUAGGCCGCCUUAUUUAAGAGAGUAAAUGGAAUUUUUCUGUAAUGGUGGUAUGUGUAAAUAGGAAAAAGAACUUUAGACGUGAAGACUAUUUACUUCUAAGAUUAUAAUGUGUUGGCUAAAACACGAGAGUGUGGGGAGCAAACAGGAUUAGGUACCCUGGUAGUCCAUACUGUAAAUAAUGAAAAAGAUGUGAAGCAAUUCUAAAAGGUAAGAACUUUUCCGCUUGAGUAGUACGAUCGCAAGAUUAAAAUUCAAAAAACUUGGCUGUUCACUGUUUUGAUUAGAGGAGCGUGUCGUUUAAUUCGAUAGUCCGCGAGAGACCUUACCCAAACUUGAAUCCCUCAUUGACAGGUAUUGCAUGGCCGUCGUCAAUUUGUGUAUUAAACAUAAAACAAAUUCAACCCAGUGGUUUGUCUAUUGGAUGAAGUCAGGUCUUAUUGUCCUAAUGUUUGGGGAUUAGAUGCGCUACAUUUUUUUAUACAAUGGGAAACUUUGAAUGUGAAACCCAAAAAUAAGAGUUCGGAAGGUGUCUGGAAUAUAACGGAAAGUUGGAUUUAAUAGUAAUUGAAAAGUAGAGCGUUUCAAUGAAAUUUAUUCAGUGUUAGUACAAAUUGCCCGUCGCCUUUGCUUAGAAAGGUUGUUUGGUUGCCCCUCAAGAGGGUUCCUAAUAUCUUCGAGGUAGAGUAAGUCGUAACAUAGUAAGAGAGAGAGGGACACAGGGC